CAAUAAUAAAGGGAACUGUCACUGUGAUGAUGGAUGGGCCCCACCCAGCUGUUUGACAGUCGGGACAGGAGGAAGCAUCGAUAGUGGUUCACCUGAGUCUGAAAGCACCAGUAAUAUCAACCUGCUAGCUAUACUGCUCCCUAUACUACUUGGCAUUCCAUUUAUAAUUUUCGCAGUUGUACUUCUUGUAAAAUGUAGAUCAGUCAUCCAUAGACAAUACACAGAGCAGCAUAGCGCAAAUACUCUUUGAUCGACUUGGAGACUAUGCACCUGACUUGAACAACUUACAUAUGGUUACUUGCAAAAGCUGCAGUUAUAUGAACUUUUAUUUGCUGCACAGUGGACAUCUUCUCAAUGACUAGCACCACAAGACCCAGUUAACUGUAUUAAUAAGCAAGAUUUCAUGUCAAUUUUGAUGAAUUGCUUAAUAUGUCAAAGGUUUGUGAUUGUUUAUCAAAUUUGGUUAACUGUAAUAAAUUAAAUAUUUUUGGCACAAGUGUCUGACUAAUGAAAAAGUGUCCAGCUUUGUGGACAGACAUAAUUUUAUUGUAACAGUGGAGUCUUUAUGUUAUCUUAGAUUUUGUGCAGUGUUCAUUAUGAUUCCAACUGUUACAUCUGUUCAUAUUGUAGUGUUUGUUACAGCUCAUAUUAUUUUUAGACUAAGAAUUUGUUAACUGUUAAUAAAGUUGUCAAAAAAAAAGAAAGAAAAAAAUGCAUUCAGUAUAUUAAUUGAAUUAUUACCAGUGUAUUCAUGCUGUUUGGUACCUCAGAUAUGUAGUUUUCAUUAUGAUUCCUGUUUCUACAUUGUUGUUUCAGUUUUUUUGUGUCUAAUAUCCUGUGUAAGUGAAUCUAGACUGAUAAUUUAUUUAGUUCACAUUUACUGUUCUUUAAUUGAUAAUAAAGUUGUUGCAAAAAAAAAAAAGUAUUCAG